CAAAGCCGCGAGGCAGAGCAAAACCCUAAAAAAUCGUCUCAGUUCAGAUUGCAGGCUGCAACUCGCCUGCAUGAAGUCGGAAUUGCUAGUAAUCGCAGAUCAGCAUGCUGCGGUGAAUACGUUCCCGGGCCUUGUACACACCGCCCGUCACACCAUGGGAGUCGGUAACACCCGAAGUCGGUAGCCUAACCGUAAGGAGGGCGCCGCCGAAGGUGGGAUUGAUGACUGGGGUGAAGUCGUAACAAGGUAUC
rnacentral:rRNA from 1 species